rnacentral:rRNA from 1 species
CACGUAGGGCGCGAGCGUUGUCCGGAAUUAUUGGGCGUAAAGAGCUCGUAGGCGGCCUGUUGCGUCCGCUGUGAAAGCCCGGGGCUUAACCCCGGGUCGGCAGUCGGAUACGGGCAGGCUAGAGGUAGGUAGGGGAGAAUGGAAUUCCCGGUGUAGCGGUGAAAUGCGCAGAGUAUCGGGAGGAACACCGGUGGCGAAGGCGGUUCUCUGGGCCGAUACUGACGCUGAGGAGCGAAAGCGUGGGGAGCGAACAGG